GUCACCGAUUGGACCGGGUCUUGUGUCCAAAACCAUCUACUCGGCGAGAGCUUUCCAUAGACACCAAGAACGCCGAAAUCCAUCGAGCGGAUUGUCCGAUUUUAGCUCGGGAAGAUUUUAGCCCAUUUCGACUUUUGGGCUAGAUUUCUCGAAAACCGUGAAUCCCACGAGAAAACCGAGGCUACCAGCACGCUCCACUCGACGAGAGCUUCGCGGGAUAUUAAUUUCAAAAUUUUCCGACAACGUUUUUCGGUAUUCUCAAUUCGCGGAAAUUCGACAGUUGACCGGGUCUGCAAAUUUCGGACCAGACAGACCCGUUACCGGAAAAGUCUCCGAAUUGGGCCGAGAUUUUGCCUACCCCCCCAUUGUCAGACGUCCCGAGCGCGUCCCCGAGGUCGGAAUCGGCAAAGGCCACAGGAGGAUAUUUUAUUCUGGGUUAACCUGCUUUUAUCCUUCGCAGGUUGUUUAUCCAUGUUUGUGUAAUUUUAAUUACUCCUAGAAUUUCCGCAUGUGUUAGCAGUAUUUAUUUGAAUUUGGUCUGUAAUAUUUUUAUCAUGUUGGACCUGUAAACUUAAAUA